AUUGAACGCUGGCGGAAUGCUUUACACAUGCAAGUCGCACGGCAGCACGGGGGCAACCCUGGUGGCGAGUGGCGAACGGGUGAGUAAUACAUCGGAACGUGCCCAGUCGUGGGGGAUAACGUAGCGAAAGUUACGCUAAUACCGCAUACGACCUACGGAUCAAAGCGGGGGACCGCAAGGCCUCGCGCGAUUGGAGCGGCCGAUGUCAGAUUAGGUAGUUGGUGAGGUAAAGGCUCACCAAGCCGACGAUCUGUAGCUGGUCUGAGAGGACGACCAGCCACACUGGGACUGAGACACGGCCCAGACUCCUACGGGAGGCAGCAGUGGGGAAUUUUGGACAAUGGGCGCAAGCCUGAUCCAGCCAUGCCGCGUGCAGGACGAAGGCCUUCGGGUUGUAAACUGCUUUUGUACGGAACGAAAAGGCUCUGGUUAAUACCUGGGGCUCAUGACGGUACCGUAAGAAUAAGCACCGGCUAACUACGUGCCAGCAGCCGCCGUAA
rnacentral:rRNA from 1 species